ACAUUGGUGUUCAGUGGCAGAACUCUCGACUUCUAUGCGGGAGACCUGGGUUCGAUUCCCAACCAAUGCA
rnacentral:tRNA from 1 species